UCCAGGUUAACCCUGGCAGUCUCCCUAGAGUGCCCAACUUAAUGCUGGCAACUAAGGACAGGGGUUGCGCUCGUUGCGAGACUUAACCCAACAUUUCACAACACGAGCUGACGACAGCCAUGCAGCGCCUGUCUCCGCAUUCCCCGAAGGGCACUCCACCAUCUCUGGCGGAUUCGCGGGAUUUCAAACCCAGGUAAGGUUUUGCGCGUUGCUUCGAAUUAAACCACAUAAUCCACCGCUUGUGCGGGCCCCCGUCAAUUCCUUUGAGUUUUAGUCUUGCGACCGUACUCCCCAGGCGGAGAACUUAACGCGUUUGCUACGUCACAGCAGGGGUUAAUACCUGCCACAACUAGUUCUCAUCGUUUACGGCGUGGACUAC
rnacentral:misc_RNA from 1 species